rnacentral:ncRNA from 2 species
AGUUUGCGAUUGGAAAAUGGUUCCCGAACCAAAAUUUUGUUCGGGAUUAAAAGGGAAUCCGGUUUGAAUCCGGAGCUGUCCCCGCAACUGUAACCCCAUCCCGAGCAAUCGGGAUAGUGAUUUGCCCACCUCAUGCCAUUGUCCCGAUUGUUCGGGGUGAGAAGGCCGGCAAAUCCAGGGAAGCCAGGAGACCUGCCUCUUUCCUCUAGAUUCA